rnacentral:rRNA from 1 species
UACGAAGGGGGCUAGCGUUGCUCGGAUUCAUUGGGCGUAAAGGGUGCGUAGGCGGCGCGGUAAGUCGGGUGUGAAAUCUCGGAGCUUAACUCCGAAACUGCAUUCGAUACUGCCGUGCUUGAGGACUGGAGAGGAGACUGGAAUUUACGGUGUAGCGGUGAAAUGCGUAGAUAUCGUAAGGAAGACCAGUGGCGAAGGCGGGUCUCUGGACAGUUCCUGACGCUGAGGCACGAAGGCCAGGGGAGCAAACGGG